rnacentral:rRNA from 1 species
CCUACGGGAGGCAGCAGUAGGGAAUUUUCGGCAAUGGGGGGAACCCUGACCGAGCAACGCCGCGUGAACGAAGAAGUUAUUCGUAAUGUAAAGCUCUUUUAACAGGGAAGAAAGAGAAAUUUGAUGGUACCUGAUGAAUAAGCCCCGGCUAACUACGUGCCAGCAGCCGCGGUAAUACGCAGGGGGCGAGCGUUAUCGGGGUUUAUUGGGCGUAAAGGGUGUGUAGAUGGCAUAGUAAGUCUUUUGUAAAAAUGCUGGGCUAAACCCAGUAGGGCAACAGAUACUGGAAAGCUAGAGUAUGACAGAGGCAAGUGGAACUACAUGUGUAGCGGUGAAAUGCGUAGAUAUAUGUAAGAACACCAGUGGCGAAGGCGGCUUGCUGGAUCGAUACUGACGUUGAGGCACGAAAGCGUGGGGAGCAAACAGGAUUAGAUACCCUUGUAGUC